UACGGAGGGGGCUAGCGUUGUUCGGAAUUACUGGGCGUAAAGCGCACGUAGGCGGAUUGGAAAGUCAGAGGUGAAAUCCCAGGGCUCAACCUUGGAACUGCCUUUGAAACUCCCAGUCUUGAGUUCGAGAGAGGUGAGUGGAAUUCCGAGUGUAGAGGUGAAAUUCGUAGAUAUUCGGAAAGAACACCAGUGGCGAAGGCGACUCGCUGGACAAGUAUUGACGCUGAGGUGCGAAAGCGUGGGGAGCAAACAGG
rnacentral:rRNA from 1 species